rnacentral:rRNA from 2 species
GGAUUCCCCUAGUAACUGCGAGUGAAGCGGGAAAAGCUCAAAUUUAAAAUCUGGUGGCCUUUGGUCAUCCGAGUUGUAGUCUGGAGAAGUGCUUUCCGCGUUGGACCGUGUAUAAGUCUCUUGGAAUAGAGCAUCAUAGAGGGUGAGAAUCCCGUCUUUGACACGGACUACCAGUGCUUUGUGAUGCGCUCUCAAAGAGUCGAGUUGUUUGGGAAUGCAGCUCAAAAUGGGUGGUAAAUUCCAUCUAAAGCUAAAUAUUGGCGAGAGACCGAUAGCGAACAAGUACCGUGAGGGAAAGAUGAAAAGCACUUUGGAAAGAGAGUUAAACAGUACGUGAAAUUGCUGAAAGGGAAACACUUGAAGUCAGUCGUGUUGUUUGGAACUCAGCCUUGCUUUUGCUUGGUGCACUUUCUGAAUGACAGGCCAGCAUCAAUUUUGACCGUUGGAAAAAGGUGGGGGGAAUGUGGCACCUUCGGGUGUGUUAUAGCCUCCUGUCACAUACAACGGUUGGGAUUGAGGACCGCAGCACGCCGCAAGGCAGGGGAUUUCCCACUUUCGUGCUUAGGAUGCUGGCAUAAUGGCUUUAAAUGACCCGUCUUGAAACACGGACCAAGGAGUCUAACAUGCCUGCGAGUGUUUGGGUGGAAAACCCGAGCGCGCAAUGAAAGUGAAAG